AUGUGGAAGUUGGUGUGGAAUGCUGAUAUCCCAAAUAAGGUCCGGUCCUUUGGUUGGAGGUUGACCUAUGAUAAUCUUGCUACAAAGCAGAAUAAAUACAAAAGGAAUCUGGAGAUUGAUAGUACGUGCAAUAUUUGUGGUAUGGCAGACGAGAACAAUUUUCAUGCUGUGGUGGAAUGUACCAAAGCCCGUGCCUUAAGAGAUCAGUUGCGAAGGGUGUGGGAUCUUCCCGGGGAAAAAGUUUUUAUUUACAAUGGGCCUGACUGGCUUCUAAUCAUCCUUGCAAAAAUCAAACCAAGGCAGCGUGAUUUGGUGCUUCUAAUGUUCUGGCGUGCUUGGUUCCUCCGAAAUGAUGUGGUCCACAACCAAGGAAAGAGCUCC
rnacentral:rRNA from 1 species